CAGCAGCCGCGGGAAUACGUAGGGUGCGAGCGUUAAUCGGAAUUACUGGGCGUAAAGCGUGCGCAGGCGGUUGUGUAAGACAGGUGUGAGGUCCCCGGGCUUAACCUGGGAACUGCGCUUGUGACUGCACAGCUAGAGUAUGGCAGAGGGGGGUGGAAUUCCACGUGUAGCAGUGAAAUGCGUAGAGAUGUGGAGGAACACCGAUGGCGAAGGCAGCCCCCUGGGCCAAUACUGACGCUCAUGCACGAAAGCGUGGGGAGCAAACAGGAUUAGAUACCCGUGUAGUCCCUGUCUCUUAUAC
rnacentral:rRNA from 1 species